rnacentral:rRNA from 1 species
UACGUAGGUGGCAAGCGUUGUCCGGAAUUAUUGGGCGUAAAGCGCGCGCAGGCGGUUUCUUAAGUCUGAUGUGAAAGCCCACGGCUCAACCGUGGAGGGUCAUUGGAAACUGGGGAACUUGAGUACAGAAGAGGAGAGUGGAAUUCCACGUGUAGCGGCGAAAUGCGUAGAUAUGUGGAGGAACACCAGUGGCGAAGGCGACUCUCUGGUCUGUAACUGACGCUGAGGCGCGAAAGCGUGGGUAGCAAACAGGAUUAGAUACUCCUGUA